GACGAACGCUGGCGGCGUGCCUAAUACAUGCAAGUAGAACGCUGAAGGAGGAGCUUGCUCUUCUGGAUGAGUUGCGAACGGGUGAGUAACGCGUAGGUAACCUGCCUGGUAGCGGGGGAUAACUAUUGGAAACGAUAGCUAAUACCGCAUAACAGUAGAUGUUGCAUGACAUUUGCUUAAAAGGUGCAAUUGCAUCACUACCAGAUGGACCUGCGUUGUAUUAGCUAGUUGGUGGGGUAACGGCUCACCAAGGCGACGAUACAUAGCCGACCUGAGAGGGUGAUCGGCCACACUGGGACUGAGACACGGCCCAGACUCCUACGGGAGGCAGCAGUAGGGAAUCUUCGGCAAUGGACGGAAGUCUGACCGAGCAACGCCGCGGGAGUGAAGAAGGUUGUCGGAUCGUAAAGCUCUGUUGUAAGAGAAGAACGAGUGUGAGAGUGGAAAGUUCACACUGUGACGGUAUCUUACCAGAAAGGGACGGCUAACUACGUG
rnacentral:rRNA from 1 species